CAGUCGCCGCGGUAAUACGUAGGGUGCGAGCGUUAAUCGGAAUUACUGGGCGUAAAGCGUGCGCAGGCGGUUGUGUAAGACAGGUGUGAAAUCCCCGGGCUUAACCUGGGAACUGCGCUUGUGACUGCACAGCUAGAGUAUGGCAGAGGGGGGUGGAAUUCCACGUGUAGCAGUGAAAUGCGUAGAGAUAUGGAGGAACACCGAUGGCGAAGGCAGCCCCCUGGGCCAAUACUGACGCUCAUGCACGAAAGCGUGGGGAGCAAACAGGAUUAGAGACCCGAGUAGUCCCUGUCUCUUAUAC
rnacentral:rRNA from 1 species